GACGAACGCUGGCGGCGUGCCUAAUACAUGCAAGUCGAACGCAGUGGGGACGGGUGAGUAACACGUGGGUCACCUCCCAUCAGAGGGGAUAACACUUGGAAACAGGUGCUAAACCGAUACUGAUGGAUGACCCCGCGGUGCAUUCGCUAGGUGGUGAGGGAACGGCUCACCAAGGCUACGAUGCAUAGCCGGCCUGAGAGGGUGAUCGGCCACACUGGGACUGAGACACGGCCCAGACUCCUACGUGAGGCAGCAGUAGGGAAUCUUCGGCAAUGGACGAAAGUCUGACCGAGCAACGCCGCGUGAGUGAAGAAGGUUUUCGGAUCGUAAAACUCUGUUGUUAGAGAAGCGGUAUCUAACCAGAAAGCCACGGCUAACUACGUGCCAGCAGCCGCGGUAAUAC
rnacentral:rRNA from 1 species